UCGAGAAUCUUCGGCAAUGGGCGCAAGCCUGACCGAGCGACGCCGCGUGUGGGAUGAAGGCCCUUGGGUUGUAAACCACUGUCAGAGGGGAUGAAAUGCAGGAGAGUUAUCUCUUCUGUUUGACAUAGCCUCAGAGGAAGCACGGGCUAAGUUCGUGCCAGCAGCCGCGGUAAUACGAACUGUGCGAACGUUAUUCGGAAUCACUGGGCUUACAGGGUGCGUAGGCGGCUUGUUAAGUAGGGUGUGAAAUCCCCCGGCUCAACCGGGGAAUGGCGCCCUAAACUGGCGAGCUAGAGUGAGAUAGGGGUGUGUGGAACUUCCGGUGGAGCGGUGAAAUGUGUUGAUAUCGGAAGGAACGCCGGUGGCGAAAGCGACACACUGGAUCUUGUCUGACGCUGAGGCACGAAAGCCAGGGGAGCGAACGGGAUUAGAUACCCCCGUAGUCC
rnacentral:rRNA from 1 species